rnacentral:rRNA from 1 species
UUACCNGUUUGACAUAAAAGAGAUCCGCAAGGGACAGGUGGUGCAUGGCUGUCGUCAGCUNGUGUCGUGAGAUGUUGGGUUAAGUCCCGCAACGAGCGCAACCCUAUCAAUGUUGCCAGCAUAUGGGACUCAUUGAGACUGCCGGGGUUAAUCGGAGGAAGGCGGGGAUGACGUCAAGUCCUCAUGCCCCUUAUGCUGGGCUGCAAACACGCUACAAUGGGAUACAAGGGGCUUCGCGAGAUUAGCAAUCCCGAAAUCGUCUCAGUUNGAAUUGAAGUNUGCAACUCGACUUCAUGAAGCUGGAGUUGCUAGUAAUCCCGAUCAGCACGCGGGGUGAAUACGUUCCCGGGCCUUGUACACNCCGCCCGUCACACCACGAAAGUCGGAAACCGAA